ACGGAGAUAUGUUUUGGAAGGGCUUCGGUCUGGAAGAGAUAUAUUUUAGUGGCGGACGGGUGAGUAACGCGUGGGCAAUCUGCCUUGUAGAAAGGGAUAACAGGCCGAAAGGCUUGCUAAUACCGGAUGAGCUUGUCUAAUCGCAUGAUAAGACAAGGAAAGGGGAAACCCGCUACAAGAUGAGCCUGCGUCCCAUUAGCUAGUUGGUGAGAUAACAGCCCACCAAGGCGACGACGGGUAGCCGGCCUGAGAGGGUGACCGGCCACAUUGGAACUGAGAAACGGUCCAGGCUCCUACGGGGGGCAGCAGUGGGGAAUAUUCGGCAAUGGGCGAAAGCCUGACCGAGCGACGCCGCGUGAGCGAAGAAGGCCUUCGGGUCGUAAAGCUCUGUCUAGUGGGACGAAAAAAAUGGCGGUACCACUGGAGGAAGCCACGGCUAACUACGUGCCAGCAGCCGCGGUAAUACGUAGGUGGCGAGCGUUGUCCGGAAUUACUGGGCGUAAAGGGCGCGUAGGCGGAUCGUUAAGUUGGACGUGAAAUACCCCGGCUCAACUGGGGGGCGACGUCCAAA
rnacentral:rRNA from 1 species